rnacentral:rRNA from 1 species
GAUGAACGCUGGCGGCGUGCCUAAUACAUGCAAGUCGAGCGAACAGACGAGGAGCUUGCUCCUCUGACGUUAGCGGCGGACGGGUGAGUAACACGUGGAUAACCUACCUAUAAGACUGGGAUAACUUCGGGAAACCGGAGCUAAUACCGGAUAAUAUAUUGAACCGCAUGGUUCAAUAGUGAAAGACGGUUUUGCUGUCACUUAUAGAUGGAUCCGCGCCGCAUUAGCUAGUUGGUAAGGUAACGGCUUACCAAGGCAACGAUGCGUAGCCGACCUGAGAGAGUGAUCGGCCACACUGGAACUGAGACACGGUCCAGACUCCUACGGGAGGCAGCGGUAGGGAAUCUUCCGCAAUGGGCGCAAGCCUGUCGGAGCAAAGCGGCGUGAGUGAUGAAGGUCUUCGGAUCGUAAAACUCUGUUAUUAGGGAAGAACAAAUGUGUAAGUAACUAUGCACGUCUUGACGGUACCUAAUCAGAGAGCCACGGCUAACUACGUG